rnacentral:snRNA from 1 species
GGAUCCUGAGAGAGAUGGAGCUAAACAAUCUGUCACCACAUUGCUCAGCGGGGCUGAUUCCUCUGAUCUGAGUGGCUAGGCGCUUUCCCUAUCACCACUCCAUAUGAAUCUUUCUCGAAGCUGUGCCCUUGAUUAAAGAGAAUCACCUUCCCAGGACAGAAAAUGGCCAGUCUUUAAUCAAGGAUUACACAUAGCUAUGUUCCUUACUCUGUUGGAAUCUCCAAAUUUGCCCUGAAAUUCAACAAAAAAGGGGGGCAGGGAUUAUCUCCAGGAUGGAGUUCUU